GUUAAAUAUUUUAAAAUAAAAUAACAAACUUCUAAAGAAACUUUCAUUUUUAUUUAAAAUAAAAAAUAGUUUCAGUUUCAUCAAUGUAGGUAGGAUGGCAGCGAGGUUGCCAUAGUAAGACUGUGCUGCUGCCGCCAUGCUGCCGCUAGCAAUACCCGCACUACCGAAACCCAACCAUGGGGCUACCCAAGCCGCUCCCAGGCCUCCUGUACCGUAAAUUACGGCACCCCCAAUUACAUUUACUGCUACAGCUGUGAAGAACCCCAUUUUCUGUAAUCGAAUGACAAAUUCACAAAAAAAACAAGCUAUGCAACGCAAUGGAACGCUGUUUAGUGCAGCCGCGCUACUGCGCAAAUGAAGAUAGUUCUGCAGUCAGCUAAUGUAUUAAAGUCUUCAACUUUACGCAUCUUUGCAAUUUCUUUUUAUACCUCGUUGGUAUACCUAUAAUAUUAUCUAUAUCCAGUACUAAAGUGGGGACUUUUUGAUCUAAAUGGUUUAGUGUUGCUAGUUUAAUU
rnacentral:misc_RNA from 1 species